UUAAGUUCAGCGGGUAGUCCCACCUGAUUCGAGGUCAGAUAUUGAAUGAUUGUCCAAAGACGAUUAGAAGCAAUCCAGAGAGAGCCUGGCCAGUCCUAAGACUGUCCUCAACAUCAGAUAAUUAUCAUGCUGAGUAGAACCAAGCCUUCACUAGGAUCAGCUAAUAUAUUUAAGACCAGCCGUAUUGACACAGCAGAGUC
rnacentral:misc_RNA from 1 species